CGGUUGUAGCAGAUUUUACACUCGAGCUCCUCCAGAGUGUAAACCAGAGACUGAGCCCACGUCUGCACCUGCACACACACCUGCACAGCAGGAAGCAGGGACGGCGGUGGGCGGAGCUUAACUCAACCUGAGGCCGUCACCUGAGUAGACGACAAACACAGGUAACAGCAGACAGCUGACAGGACGUCCACACAGCUUCAUCAGGUGUCAGGUAGAGCGGGUCGUCCACUGAUCAGGAGAUCGACGGUUCGAUUCCUGACUCCUCCGGUCUGCAUGUCCAGGUGUCCUCAGACAAGAUACUGAACCCCAAACUGCUCCUGAUGAGCAGAGUCUGCAGCCCACCUGAGAGUCUGCAGCCCACCUGAGAGUCUGCAGCCCACCUGAGAGUCUGCAGCUCACCUGAGGGUCUGCAGCCCAUCUGAGAGUCUGUAGCCCACCUGAGAGUCUGCAGGCUACCUGAGAGUCUGCAGCCCACCCGAGAGUCUGCAGCCCACCUGAGAGUCUGCAGCCCACCUGAGAGUCUGCAGCCCACCUGAGAGUCUGCAGGCUACCUGAGAGUCUGCAGCCCACCCGAGAGUCUGCAGCCCAUCUGAGAGUCUGCAGCCCAUCUGUGAGUCUGCAGCCCAUCUGAGAGUCUGCAGCUCACCUGAGAGUCUGCAGCCCACCUGAGAGUCUGCAGCCCACCUGAGAGUCUGCAGCCCACCUUAGAGUCUUCAACCCACCUGAGGGUCUGCAGCCCAUCUGAGAGUCUGCAGCUCACCUGAGAGUCUGCAGCCCACCUUAGAGUCUUCAACCCACCUGAGGGUCUGCAGCCCAUCUGAGAGUCUGCAGCUCACCUGAGAGUCUGCAGCCCACCUGAGAGUCUGCAGCCCACCUGAGGGUCUGCAGCCCACCUGAGAGUCUGCAGCCCACCUGAGAGUCUGCAGCCCACCUGAGGGUCUGCAGGCCACCUGAUGAAGGCCACAAGCUGAAACUCAUUAGUCUAACAAUAAAGUUGUUCUAUAUACUACAAGUGUUGCUGGAGUUUUUCCUUCUCCGUGCACCUUGGAAGUAGGUGAAGUUGUGCCAGAAACCACUACGCUGCUUCAAGAGAGGUCGCUAAAAUAUGAGGAACAGAGGAAUAUCAGGAACAAUGGAGAGGUUAGUGUUACUACACAGAACCAAAUCUAAAAUGACAUUUACAGAGAAGAAUGUGCUCAGUUAAGAUCUGGCAGAUAUGAAGGUUUUCCUGCAGAGCAACAUCUGUGUGUUUUUGUGAUUUUGGUGUCAAGGAUGAAUUUCAUUUUGCCUUCAUAAAGUGACUCCAGGAAUCAUUUGUUUGAAAAGAUCCAAUCCAAUGAUUUGUUUUGGUCAUCUGAAGCUUUUUAAUGUGAAGAUUUAUAGAAAAUGCACAGCAACAUUACGAAGUUAUGUUGUUUUUUUAAAUUUAACAUUACGUUUUUUGGGUUUUUUGUAACAUGACUUUUUUUUAUCAUAACAUUACGUGAUUGUGAUGCAUGGAGCGGCUCUGACGUCAUCUGAAUCCGCAUGAACGCAUAAAUCAUCCACCCGAUCACACAUGAGCGUUAUUUCUCAGAGGGAUGAUAUGAUAACAGACUAUACUGAAAUA